ACCUGAUUUGGCUUUCUGCGUUCAUGUACUAGCACAGUUUAUGCAAGCUCCACGCGAAGAUCACUGGGAAGCUGCGUUGCGAGUUGUACGAUAUUUGAAAGGAAAUCCCGGCCAAGGUAUACUCUUGAAAGCAGAGAAAAAUUUUCAGAUAACGGGCUGGUGUGAUGCUGACUAUAACAGCUGUCCACUCACCCGACGGUCUGUCACUGGAUUUUUUGUACAACUUGGCGAUUCACCGGUGUCUUGGAAAACACGGAAACAAGACACUGUUAGUAUGUCUUCCUCGGAAGCGGAAUAUCGAGCAAUGGCGUUCAUCACAAAAGAGCUUAUGUGGUUGAAACGAGUUCUUCUCGAUCUUGGCGUCAAACAUACACAGCCGAUGCGUCUUUACUGCGACAACAAGUCAGCCAUAUACAUUGCCACGAAUCCCGUCUUCCAUGAACGUACGAAACACAUCGAAAAUGACUGCCACUUUGUUCGUGAAAAGAUACAGUUGGGUACUCUACAGCUUCAACAUGUUUCAAGUGGUGCUCAGCUAGCGGAUAUAUUCACCAAACCACUUGGAAGAAGAUCGUUUGAAGAUUUUUGUACCAAACUGGGCAUUUUGAAUCUUCAUGCUCCAGUUUGAGGGAGGGUAUUGGGAUAUGAUAUCAGUUAUCUUCGGAAAUCAUAUCCCGUAUGUUUAGCACCUAGAAUUAUUAGUUUCCAUAUUCUUCUCUGUAAUUAUUUGAUCGAUUAGGUUUGGGGAUCACACCUCUGUGAUAUAUAUAUGUAAUCAAACCUCAAGUAAAUAUACUGAAUCAUUCAGCCUCCAUUGACGUCUCUGUUAUUUCAGAGAGAUCAAACUUCCGUCGAGGCAAUUCCGAUCUGAUUUAUGAGUUGUGUUUCUCUUUUACUUGAUUAGAGAAAUCAAACUCCCGGAUUUAGGGUUUCGUCAGAUUGAUUUGUUUACGAAUUGUGUGUUACUUGAUUUGAUAAUUGUUACUGUUACUUAACUUAUUCCUCGAUAGUUUUUGUGUUUUGUUUGAUUUGGUUUUUGACAGGAAGAUCAAAAGGAUUCUGAUUCAUGAUCUUCAAGGACAAUAAAUCUAUGGGAUACUAUCAAAGAGAUGGUAAAGGAGAACGUGGUGGUGACUGGUAAUCGUAGAUAAACUGUAGUUUUGUGCUGCUCUGUUUUCGGUUUAGAUUUGUUCUGCAUCGUCGUGUCUCCGGUUUGAUUCUUGCUCUUGUUCUUAUGGUUUACCUUUUUGAUGUCACAGAUCGUUUCGGGUCUUCCUUGCUUGAAGAAAAUAGACUUGCAUUCAUAAAAUCUUCUUAUAUGUAUUUUUAGAAAUUAUUCCCCCCAAAAUAAUUUAAAGAUACACAUGAGCUUAUUACUUGGAAUGCAGGUUUUGCAACAAGUCAUUGAGAUUAUUACUCACAUCGACUGCGGAAAAUGUAUCCUAAGAAGAUAUCUUAGUUGUUUUCAGGUGGCAACGAAUUCCGAGAAUUAUUUGGAGGUGUUGCCGUAGCCAUGGGACCAACUAUUGAGAAGGCGAGCAAGGUUAGGGAUACAUGUCAAGCAUUGAAAAUCUUUCUUACUUCCUGCCAGUUUUACCAAAUACUUGAGCGAUCUACUUUAGGGAAUUUGGUCUGAUGUUCUGAAAUGCCUCACUAUCAACAUGAAGCACAUGAGAGAAUUUACUUUGACACAAUGGUUGGUGAACUUCUUUAGGCAUGUCUUUUUUAUUCUGUAAAUGCGGAUUAUAAUACCUCCAAAUAGCAGAAAAACAGCAGAAUGAUGUGCGAAAAACAGCAGAAUGAUGCAUUUCCGAGAUCUUGAGAGUCAGUGGACAGUAUACGUCGUGUGCAUUUUUCUCAGAUGGAAAAGAAUAUCAAAGAUAUCCAAGGCCCAGCACUAGCUCUUGUGUUUGAUAAAGUAAGACCAUGAUUUGUUCAAGGUACCUAUCCAAUUAAAAGCUCGAUGAUCUGGUUUUCUGAUUAAUAUGUUCUCUCCUCUCCGUUCCCUUUUAUGUUCAUGCUAUUGCUAAUGAUUUGAAUCAUCAAAAGCUUUGGCGGGGCCAGUGUUGAAAGGUGUUUCAAAGAUUUCAUAUCGACUUCUAGUGGUACCGUGGAACGUAGGGAAUUGAGUUCGUAUUCUUCCUUUCAUAUGCUUUGUUUCUUAUAUUCCUAUGUAGUUUUUUUUUUUUUCCAUCUUUGAGAGAAUCAAGUAAAAUUUAAACAAAAAACCUGAGCUUGUGUCUGAAAUUAUCAAGGUCGCGGGUUUGGUCUUAAUUCUAAGUUAUAAUGCUUCCUUUUGACCAGAUAAAGCAUUUGUAAAGUCUUCAAUAUUUUAACCAUUGCACCACUCACUAAACUACUACGAAUGUGGCAAACCCUAAUCCUCUGUAAAGAUCACACUUUUACCAAAAUGACUUGAAUAUAAAAGCUAAUUUAUAUAUU